UUCCAACUCCAAUUUCCCAGGGGUUCGGAGGGGUGCUGCUUCCCAGGGCAGCGAGCGGGAUGGGGGCCGCGUGCCCUCUGCUGGGAGAGCUUUGUAACGUCAGGCGUUCCUCUGGAAGCGCCGUUGCCGCAUUCCAAGAUGUCCUGCGCGGUUGAUUACCAACGUGCUUGAGUUGGCAUUCCAAAAGGAGUUUCUUUCGGUUGCUCCUGGGAAAACUCAUGUUGCAAUUUCAGAGCGUUGAAGAAUCUGGUUCUGCUAAGGAAGCCUUUGGCUUGUCUUCUGGGGAGUGUUCAGGAAUCAUUUUGAUGAAUUCCAAUUAAGAGUCUUUUUGACACCAGGGGAUGCAAAGGUCAAAGGAUGCCCUGAGCAGCACAUAACAGACUACAUGGAGCACAGAUAAAGGAAUUUUGGGGAAAAAAAAUUACUAGGGCUAGUUGAUGAUGGCCCCCUUUGCUUUUAUCCAUACCUGCAUAAAGGGCAAGAGGAGCCAGUGAGCUGGUGUGGCUGGUGAGAUUUAUGUGUUUUUCCUUUUCUGUGAAUGAUCAGUGAGCACAACGAGACUUGCACAGUACACACAGCGUGUUCCUUAUCUACAGGAUGAGACGAGGCUGUUUUAAUAACUACCAUGAUGAAGAUGGAGAUGAACUUAUAUACAAGAGGAAUUGCCUUCACAUUACACACAUUAUCUUCCUACAAAGCAGCAAUUGUUUUUUGCAAAUAACAUAAUAUUAAAUAAUUGGUAGAAUUUU